AGAGUUUGAUCCUGGCUCAGGAUGAACGCCGGCGGUGUGCCUAAUACAUGCAAGUCGUACGCACUGGCCCAACUGAUUGAUGGUGCUUGCACCUGAUUGACGAUGGAUCACCAGUGAGUGGCGGACGGGUGAGUAACACGUAGGUAACCUGCCUCGGAGCGGGGGAUAACAUUUGGAAACAGAUGCUAAUACCGCAUAACAACAAAAGCCACAUGGCUUUUGUUUGAAAGAUGGCUUUGGCUAUCACUCUGGGAUGGACCUGCGGUGCAUUAGCUAGUUGGUAAGGUAACGGCUUACCAAGGCAAUGAUGCAUAGCCGAGUUGAGAGACUGAUCGGCCACAAUGGAACUGAGACACGGUCCAUACUCCUACGGGAGGCAGCAGUAGGGAAUCUUCCACAAUGGGCGCAAGCCUGAUGGAGCAACACCGCGUGAGUGAAGAAGGGUUUCGGCUCGUAAAGCUCUGUUGUUGGAGAAGAACGUGCGUGAGAGUAACUGUUCACGCAGUGACGGUAUCCAACCAGAAAGUCACGGCUAACUACGUGCCAGCAGCCGCGGUAAUACGUAGGUGGCAAGCGUUAUCCGGAUUUAUUGGGCGUAAAGCGAGCGCAGGCGGUUGCUUAGGUCUGAUGUGAAAGCCUUCGGCUUAACCGAAGAAGUGCAUCGGAAACCGGGCGACUUGAGUGCAGAAGAGGACAGUGGAACUCCAUGUGUAGCGGUGGAAUGCGUAGAUAUAUGGAAGAACACCAGUGGCGAAGGCGGCUGUCUGGUCUGCAACUGACGCUGAGGCUCGAAAGCAUGGGUAGCGAACAGGAUUAGAUACCCUGGUAGUCCAUGCCGUAAACGAUGAGUGCUAGGGUUGGAGGGUUUCCCCCCUUCCGUGCCGGAGCUAAC
rnacentral:rRNA from 1 species